UACGGGGGGGGUAAGCGUUGUUCGGAAUUACUGGGCGUAAAGGGCUCGUAGGCGGCCAACUAAGUCAUACGUGAAAUCCCUCAGCUUAACUGGGGAACUGCGUGUGAUACUGGAUGGCUUGGAUUUGGGAGAGGGAUGCGGAAUUCCAGGUGUAGCGGUGAAAUGCGUAGAUAUCUGGAGGAACACCGGUGGCGAAGGCGGCAUCCUGGACCAAUAUUGACGCUGAGGCGCGAAAGCCAGGGGAGCAAACGGG
rnacentral:rRNA from 1 species